rnacentral:rRNA from 1 species
CCUACGGGGGGCAGCAGUGAGGAAUAUUGGUCAAUGGCCGGAAGGCUGAACCAGCCAUGCCGCGUGAAGGUCAGUGCCCUAUGGGCGUUAAACUUCUUUUGUGCGGGAGCAAUAAUGGUCACGUGUGGCCAGACGAGAGUACCGUACGAAUAAGCAUCGGCUAACUCCGUGCAAGCAGCCGCGGUAAUACGGGGGAUGCAAGCGUUAUCCGGAUUUAUUGGGUUUAAAGGGUGCGUAGGCUGUGCGGUAAGUCAGCGGUGAAAUGCCCACGGUCAACGGGGUGAAGUGCCAUUGAUACUGCCUUGCUGGAAUGCGGAUGCCGUAGGAGGAAUGUGUGGUGUAGCGGUGAAAUGCAUAGAUAUCACACAGAACACCGAUUGCGAAGGCAUCUCACGAAUCCGCGAUUGACGCUGAUGCACGAAAGCGUGGGUAUCAAACAGGAUUAGAUACCCGUGUAGUC